GGAAAGGGCUGAUAUCGACAAUGUGAAGUGUGUGUUGCAAGCUGAACAUGAAAAGGUUCAAAACCGGACUUUCACAAACUGGGUCAACGCACAGCUAGCAAAGCACAAACCCCCAUCUGUCAUCCACGACUUGUUCCAGGAUCUUCGGGAUGGACACAGACUCUUGGAUUUACUGGAGGUUCUG